rnacentral:rRNA from 1 species
UACGUAGGGGGCAAGCGUUGUCCGGAAUCAUUGGGCGUAAAGCGCGCGUAGGCGGCCCGGUAAGUCCGUUGUAAAAGUCGAAGGCUCAACCUUCGAAUGCCGAUGGAUACUGUCGGGCUAGAGUCCGGAAGAGGCGAGUGGAAUUCCUGGUGUAGCGGUGGAAUGCGCAGAUAUCAGGAGGAACACCAAUAGCGAAGGCAGCUCGCUGGGACGGUACUGACGCUAAGGCGCGAAAGCGUGGGGAGCGAACAGGA